UUGUGGAUCGUGGAUAUAAGAAACAGUCUUGAAGUCUUCACUAUUGUUUUGCUUCUAAAGGCAAGGUUUACGGUUUUUAUGACGAGUGCCAAAGGAUAUAUGGUAAUGCUAAUGCCUGGAGAUAUUGCACUGAUGUAUUUGACUAUCUCACACUUUCAGCCAUUAUAGAUUGAACUGUUCUCUGUGUCCAUGGUGGUCUUUCUCCUGAUGUUCGAACAAUUGACCAGAUGAGGGUCAUUGAGCGAAAUUGUGAAAUUCCUCAUGAUGGUCCUUUUUGUGAUCUCAUGUGGAGUGAUCCCGAGGAAAUUGAAACAUGGGCAGUCAGUCCAAGGGGAGCAGGUUGGCUUUUCGGAUCUAGGUACUAUCCAAACAACUUAUCCAAACAGACACUAACGAUCAGGGGCAGUAAAAUAAAAUUAGAAUGCCUGAGUUAAUUGCCUGCUUUCAUGAUUUCCACGCAAAAGAG